rfam:Oryza glaberrima chromosome 10 Oglab10_0128_5, whole genome shotgun sequence.
CCUCCGUCCAAAAAAAAAAAACCGAAAAUACGUUUGAUCGUCCGUCUUAUCUAAAAAAAUAUAAAAAAAUUAGAAAGACAAGUCAUGCAUAAAAUAUUAAUCAUAUUUUAUCAUUUAACAACAAUAAAAAUACUAAUUAUAAAAAAAAUUCAUAUAAGACGGACAGUUAAACGUUGGACACGGAAACACAGGUUUGUCUUUUUU